UCAGUGGACGUCGAGUUAGAGCUUAACGACGUAACAAACCACCGCCGGACAUGUCGAAGAGG
rnacentral:ncRNA from 1 species